rnacentral:rRNA from 1 species
GACGAACGCUGGCGGCGUGCUUAACACAUGCCAGUCGAACGGAAAGGCCCCUUCGGGGGUACUCGAGUGGCGAACAGGUGAGUAACACGUGAGUAACCUGCCCUUGACUUCGGGAUAACUUCAGGAAACUGGGGCUAAUACCGGAUAGGAAUCCUUGCUGCAUGGUGGGGGUUGGAAGGCUUCGGCGGUUUUGGAUGGACUCGCGGCUUAUCAGCUUGUUGGUGGGGUAGUGGCUUACCAAGGCUUUGACGGGUAGCCGGCCUGAGAGGGCGACCGGCCACAUUGGGACUGAGAUACGGCCCAGACUCCUACGGGAGGCAGCAGUGGGGAAUAUUGCACAAUGGGCGGAAGCCUGAUGCAGCAACGCCGCGUGCGGGAUGACGGCCUUCGGGUUGUAAACCGCUUUCAGCAGGGGCGAAGCUUGUGGUGACGGUACCUGCAGAAGAAGCACCGGCUAACUACGUG